rnacentral:rRNA from 1 species
CCUACGGGAGGCAGCAGUAGGGAAUAUUGGGCAAUGGGCGAGAGCCUGACCCAGCCAUGCCGCGUGCCGGAUGAAGGCCUUCUGGGUUGUAAACGGCUUUUCUCAGGGAAGAAAAAGCCCAUACGUGGGACACUGACGGUACCUGAGGAAUAAGCACCGGCUAACUCCGUGCCAGCAGCCGCGGUAAUACGGAGGGUGCAAGCGUUGUCCGGAUUUAUUGGGUUUAAAGGGUGCGUAGGCGGCCCGUUAAGUCCGGGGUGAAAGCCCACAGCUCAACUGUGGAACUGCCCUGGAUACUGGCGGGCUUGAGUCCAGACGAGGUUGGCGGAAUGGAUGGUGUAGCGGUGAAAUGCAUAGAUACCAUCCAGAACCCCGAUUGCGUAGGCAGCUGACUAGGCUGGUACUGACGCUGAGGCACGAAAGCGUGGGGAGCGAACAGGAUUAGAUACCCUGGUAGUCCACGCCGUAAACGAUGGAUACUCGCUGGUGGCGAUAGACAGUCACUGGCUUAGCGAAAGCGGUAAGUAUCCACCUGGGGAGUACGCUCGCAGAGUGAAACUCAAAGGAAUUGAGG